AGUGAAUGCUGGCGGUAGGCAUAACACAUGCAAGUCGAACGAGUGGCGGACAGGUGAGGAAUACAUUGGAAUCUACUCUGUCGUGAGAGAUAAAGUCGGCAAACUUACGCUGAUACACCAUCCGAUUGAAUCGGCCUAUGUCGGAUUAGCUAGUUGGCGGGGUAAAAGCCAACCAAGGGGACGCUCCGUGGCGGGUGUGAGAGGAUGAUCACCCACACUGGAACUGAGACAAGGUCCAGACUCCUACGGGCGGCGGCAGUGGGUACUAUUGGACGAUGGGCGCAAGUCUGAUCCAGCCAUGCCGCGUGUGAUCAGAAGGCCGUCGGGUUGUAAAGCCCUUUUGUUGGGUAAGCGGUAGCCACAGAAUAAGCACCGGCUAACUUCGUGCCAGCAGCCGCGGUAAUUC
rnacentral:rRNA from 1 species